GCAAACUUGGUCAUUUAGAGGAAGUAAAAGUCGUAACAAGGUAACCGUAGGUGAACCUGCGGUUGGAUCAUUAACAAAUUUAAACAAUUUGUUUAAUGAAAUUGGGUUGAUUAGGUUAGUAAAGGUGGGGGAUAAAACUUGUCCUCCCUUUCUCUAGCUGUGAUCUCCCAUUUCAUUUUUCAACACCUGUGCACUUAGGUGCACUUGUGUCUUGGUAUUAUAUUUUCUAGGAAAUAUGUACCAUGAUUUUACACACCAUUUAAGUCAUAAAAUACCAUUUUAUUUAUUGAAAAUAAAUAAAAAAACAACUUUUGACAACGGAUCUCUUGGCUCUUGCAUCGAUGAAGAACGCAGC
rnacentral:misc_RNA from 1 species